GGAUUUUAAGAAGUGAGAUAUGGGAGGAGAGGAGUAAUAGCAAAAUUCUCCCAGCUUUGAGAUUGAGCUAUAGUUACCUCUCCUCUCAUCUCAAGAGAUGCUUCGCAUAUUGCUCGUUGUUCCCCAAAGAUUAUGACUUUGACAAGGAACAUCUAAUUCAAUUGUGGAUGGCUGAAAAUUUCUUACCUUGUGCUCAUCAAAGCAAAGAUGCUAAGGAAAUUGGAGAACAAUUCUUCCAUGAUCUAUUGUCGAGAUCUCUUUUCCAACGAUCAACUGUAGAUGAAAUGCAUUUCAUCAUGCAUGACCUUAUAAAUGAUUUGGCAAAAGAUGAGUAUGGAAAAUUUUGCUAUAGGUUAGAAGUAGACGAAGGAAAUGACUUGACCGAAAUGACCCGCCAUGUUUCAUAUUUAAGAAAUGUAUUUGAAACUUCUAAAAGGUUUAAGGUUAUAUGCCAGGCUAAUAGAUUGCGCACAUUCUUGCCUCACCCUUGCCGCGAAUUGCAUGCUGGAUGUCUAGCAAGGUUAUAAAUGAUUUGCUCUCGACGUUUAGUUGCAUCCGGGUUUUAUCUUUGUCUUAUUCUCAUCACAUUGUCGAAUUGCCUGAUUCAAUAGGAAACCUUAAACAUAUACGAUAUCUAGACUUUUCAGAUACUGGCAUAAGGAAAUUACCUGAUUCAAUAUGUCAGCUUUAUCAUUUACAAACAUUAAAGCUGUGGCGUUGUCGCUUUCUGGAAAAGUUACCGGCGGCUUUGCAUAAACUCAUGAAUUUGAGGCAUCUUGAUUUUCGUGAAACUCGGGUGAGAGAGAUGCCGAAGCAGUUGGGUGAAUUGAAAAAUCUUAUGGUAUUGUCAUCAUUUAUUGUGGGCAAAUGUGGAGAGACUGACAUCAAACAGAUACAAGAACUAAAUCUUUGUGGAUCAAUUUCCAUCUUAGAGUUACAAAAUGUAAUUUCUCCAGCGGAUGCUUCAGAAGUCAAUUUGAAAAGUAAGAUAUACUUGGAGGAGUUGUCAUUAGAGUGGAAUAUGGACCAUGAAAAUUCACACAAUGAUAAGGACGUGCUAGAGAAGCUGCAACCUCAUCAAAACUUAAAAAAGCUUUUAAUUAGAAAUUAUGGGGGCAUCGAGUUUCCAAAUUGGUUUACGGGUCUUUCAUUUCCCAACAUCGUGUCCCUAGAGCUGACGAAUUGUAAAAACUGUUUUUCCUUACCAUUGGCAAACCUCCUUCCAUCUCUCAAUUCACUGUUAAUUAUAGGGUUUGCUAAUCUAGUAGCUAUUGGUCCUGAAUUUUAUGGAAAUAACUUAACUAACUACACCAUCCUCAGAAAUCUCCUGUGCUUUCCCGAAUCUUCAAGUAUUGUCUAUAGAAGACUGUCCCAAACUUGAAGGGCACCUUCUUCCACAAUUUCCUUCUCUAAGGACGCUAGUAAUUGAAAAUUGCGAGAAACUUGUGGCUUCAAUUCAAUGCACUCCAUCUCUUCAUAAAUUGUUUCUAAAACAUUGUGCAAAGAUGCAGUUGGAAUGUCUUCCAUCAACUUUAAAAGUUCUCCACAUUUCUGGAUACUUCACAGAGAUCUUAUCAAUUGAAAAGAUUGUGAAUACCAUUGUCCAUUCCAAUCUUGAACGGUUGAAUUUUUCUGAUUGUCCCCUGUUGGAAUUCCCGUCUUGCUAUUGUCAUAACUUCAUUCUUGAAAUGAACAUGAGAGGAAGAUGAGACUCUGUGAAGUCUUUUCCACUGGAUUUAUUCCCCAAGCUUCAGACAUUGAGGCUGUGGGACUGUAGUAAUCUUGAAAUGAUAUUUUUUCAGAAGGACACCAUGAGUUUCUUUUAAGGUUGGACAUACGGAAGUGUCCAAAAUUUGUAUCAUUUCCCAAAGGAGGAUUUUCCGCCCCCAAACUAGAAUCUUGCAUACUUGCAGAAUUGGAGAAUUUGAAAUUGCUGCCUGAGAAAAUGCACAUCCUCUUUUGCUCGCUCGAACACCUAAUGAUAAAGAGCUGCCCACAAGUGGAAUCACUUCCUAAGGAUGGGUUGCCAUCGAAUCUUAUAGCGUUCGAAGUAUCAGGAUGCCCAAAGCUCAUAAGAACUCGAAUGGGAUUGAAUUUGAAUAGUCUGACUUCUCUACAUUAUUUGAUGAUUGGAGAUGCGAACGAUGUGUCUCUUCCUGAUAUAGGACUACUACCCCCUACUCUUAAUUCCCUUUGGUUCUCUAACUGCCCCAAUCUUAGAACGUUGGAACACAAAGGUCUUUGCCACUUGUCCUCUCUCCAACAUUUGCAUCUUACUGGCUGUCCUAAACUCCAAUGCUUGCCGAAGGAGGGUCUGCCCAGUUCCCUUAUUCGACUAGGUAUCAGUGGCUGUCCCUUGCUCAAAAAGAAGAUCCUAAAACAAAAGGGCAAAUAUUGGGCAAUGAUUUCUCACAUCCCUUUAGUUGAUAUUGACGGUAAUGUAGUCAAUUGAAGUGAGCUUCUCAAUGACAAGUCCAUCAAUUUCAUCCUUCUUGGUUUCUCAUCAGUUGAGACAUUGUAUUAAAGUGAGCCUUUGAUGAUUGCAUCAACCACAAAUCGUACAGCUUCGCAAAGGUACACAUAUGAAAUUGUAUUUCAGUAUUUCUUUUUUCUGUUUUCAAAUCUUUUAGUCAUGUAUUUCAUUUGUUUUUUAUUAUUUUGGCAGAUUUCAUGUCAAAGUGAUAUGUCCAGAUAUAGACAUGAUACUAUGAGCGUGUCAAAGCACAAGCUCUCAUAUUGUCCACUGAACAUAAGAGACUCUUCUAAUAUAUAGACUUCAUGUUGUCCAAUUGCUAAAGAAGCAAUGUUGGGAAAACUAUGCUGGCGCACUGCAACAGGUUGGUUCAUGGAAGCAGUAAAAGGGAAUCCCUCAACUAAGAGGUCCCUAUUACUUCUUUUAAGAAACAACCUGAGAAGGGGCAAAAUAUGAGAAAGGCUUAAUGCUAUCUGGAGGAAAUGAAAGUUCUGCUUCAACUGAGUGAGAUUCAAAUGGUAGAAGCCACUAUUGAAUACCAUUAAUGGAAUAUUGAGCUCCAUUAAUGGUAUGCAAAUAUGGACAUUGGGAGUUUGCUGACAAAAUUUGAAGCUCUCCCAUAAAUUGGUUCUAAAACAUUGUGCAAAGGUGCAGUUGGAAUGUCUUCCAUCUACUCUAAAAGUUCUCCACAUUUCUGGCUACUUCACAUAGAUCUUAUCAAUUCAAAAGAUUGAGAAUACCAUUGCCAAUUCCAAUCUUGAAGAGUUGAUUUUUUCUGAUUGUCCCCUGUUGGAGUUUUCAUCACGCAAUUGUCAUAACUUCAUUCUUGAGAUUUACAUAAGAGGAAGCUGCGACUCUCUCAAGUCUUUUCCGCUGGAUUUAUUCCCCAAGCUUCAGUCUUUAUGGCUGUGGGACUGUCAUAAUCUUGAAAUGAUGUCUGUUUCACAAGGACACCAUUACUCUCGUAGAGACUUGAACAUAUAAAGGUGUCCUAAAUUUGUAUCAUUUCCUAAAGGAGGAUUUUCCGCCCCCAAACUAGAAUAUUGUGUGUUUGUAGAAUUGGAGAAUUUGAAAUUGCUGCCUGGUAAAAUGCGCAUCCUCUUUUGCUCGCUCAAACAUCUAAUAAUAAGGAGCUGCCCGCUAGUGGAAUCAUUUCCUGAGGAUGGGUUGCCAUCGAAUCUUAUAGAGUUUGAUGUAUCAGGAUGCCCAAAACUACUCAUAAGCACUCGAAUGGGAUGGGAUUUGAAUAGUCUGACUUCUCUACGUUAUUUGAUGAUUGGAGAUGCGAACGAUGUGUCUCUUCCUGAUAUAGGACUACUACCCCCUACUCUUAAUUCCCUUUGGUUCUCUAACUGCCCGAAUCUUAGAACGUUGGAACACAAAGGUCUUUGCCACUUGUCCUCUCUUCAACGCUUGUAUCUUCAUGACUGUUCUAAACUCCAAUACUUGCCGAAGGAGGGUCUGCCCAGUUCCCUUAUUCGACUAUGUAUUAGUGGCUGUCCCUUGCUCAAAAAGAAGAUCCAAAAACGAAAGGGCAAAUAUUGGGCAAUGAUUUCUCACAUCCCUUUAGUUAAUAUUGACCGUGAUGUAGUCAAUUGAAGUGAGCUUCUCAAUUACAAGCACAUCAAUUUCAUCCAUCGUAGUUUCUCAUUAGAAACAUGAGGCUUUGACCUACCCUGAAGUCAACAUAGCCUGACUUUCAUAGGAGUGAGAACAAUUGACUAAUGUUGAACAUUAAUCUUCGGUUGAUGAAAUUGGCCCAAAAGUCACGUGGUUUCCAUUGCUGUGGAAUUUGACAGUUGAGACAUUGUAUUAAAGUGAGCAUUUGAUGAUUGCAUCAACCACAAAUCGUACAGCUUCACAAAGAUUUCAUGCCAAAGUGAUAUGUCCAGCAUAUAGACAUGAUAAUAUGAGUGUGUCAAGCACAAGCUCUCAUAUUGUCCACUGAACAUAAGAGUCUUCUACUAUAUGGGCUUCAUGUUGUCCAAUUCCUAAAGAAGAACAUCAGGUACUUGCUCUUAUUUGACAUCUUAUUUUGGGAAAAGUAUGCUGGUACACUGCAACCGGUUGGCUCAUCAAAGCAAUAAAAGGGAAUCCCUCAACUAAGAG